rnacentral:lncRNA from 1 species
CAGAAUCAGUAGCACCACAAGCAGAAUCAUCAGUAUCACAGGUAGAAUCAGUAACAUCACGAGGAGUAUCGCAGGCAGAAUUCAGCAGGCAGCAGUAGAAUGGUGUUUAAAGGCGUUACCCACUGCAACACUAAUUGUAGGAUCAGGAUCUGCAGCAAUAGCAGCAGCAGCAUCACAAACAGGAACUAAGAAGCAUCACAACCAGAAUCAGUUAGCACCACAAAGCAGAAUUGUUAGUAUCAGGAGGAGUCAUCACAAUCAGAAUCAGUUAGCACCACAAGCAGAAUCAUCAGUAUCACAGGUAGAAUCAGUAACAUCACGAGGAGUAUCGCAGGCAGAAUCAGCAGCAACACAAGCAGAAUUGGCAGUAUCAGGAGAAGCAUCACAAUCAGAAUCAGUAGCACCACAAGCAGAAUCAUCAGUAUCACAGGCAGAAUCAGUAACAUCAGGAGGAGUAUCACAGGCAGAAUCAGCAGCAUCAAAGCAGAAUCAGCAGCAUCAGGAGGAGCAUCAACAAGCAGAAUCAGUAGACCAUACACAUAGCAGUAAUCAGCAGCUCAGUAGCAUCACAUGCAGAAUCAGCAGCAUCACAAGCAGAAUCGGCAGCAUCAGGAGGAACAUCACAAUCAGAAUCAGUAGCACCACAAGCAGAAUCAUUAGCAUCAGGAGGAGCAUCACAAGCAGAAAUGGCAGCAUCAGGACGAACAUCACAAUCAGAAUCAGUAACACCACAAGCAGAAUCAUCAGCAUUAGGAGGAGCAGCACAGUCAGAAUCAGCAGCAUCAGGAGGAGCAGCACAGUCAGAAUCAUCAGAAUCAGGAGGAGCAUCACAAGCAGAAUCAUCAGCAUUAGGAGGAGCAGCACAGUCAGGAUCAGCAGCAUCAGGAGGAGCAGGACAGUCAGAAUCAGCAGAAUCAGGAGGAUCAUCACAAGCAGAAUCAGCAGCAACACAUGAAGAAUUGGCAGGAUCAGGAGGUACAUCACAACCAGAAUCAGUAGCAUCACAAGCAAAAUCAACAGCACCAAGAGAAGCAUAGCAGGAAGUGCAUCACUGGGAGUAUCAGCAGCAUCAGCAGGAGCAACUGGAUUUAGCCAAGAAUUACUGGGAGGAUUAGGACUUGCUGCAGGAGCAAAAUCUGCUAUUUUUGGAUCACAUAGGCACAGACAAUUACAGACGGAAGCAGUAGAGAUGGUAAGUUUUAUUAUACUGGCUUGAGAACUUGCAUGCACUUAACACAGGUCAUACCUUCAGACUGUUCUGACUUAGCAUGCUAUAUCCUUUCAAACUGAUUAGACUUAACUAAAACAAACUACCAAAAUAAGUAUCACUCUAUUAGUUUAGUGUAAAAUAUUAAAUUAUAAUGUGCUUUAUUAAUCAUUCCAUUACAGUGAUAUGUUAACAUUAAAAAGUAAAGCAGUGCACACUGUAAUUCACUGCAAUUUUUUUCACAAAAAGCUGAUAGAAUUAACAUUACAUUUUGCAGCAAAUAGAAAAUAGAGUGCAGGGCUUAGAAAUCUAGGGGCCUCAUUUAUAAAGACAUACCUAGGAUGAUCCUCAAUGCCAUUUUAUAAAUUAUAAUUCAUCAUGAAUUUAAGCUCACUGUGAACAAGCGCAUCAUCUUUGUAUCCUUUGGGGUUCUGAAAUACUUUUGCUCAUCAUGGGCAAGAAAAUCCAAGCAUGCUCUUAGAAAACAUUCUCUCUGCAGAAUGUUCUGGUUUCUGCCCAACAUGUGUAUGUGUGUUUAUGUGUUCAGGAAUUCGUUAUCAUAAUAAUCACAAAGCAGCAAAAAUGCUGCUAUUUUGUGCAUAUUAUAAUAUUAAUGCAUAUUGUGAUUCCCUGUUUUUUUUUUAACCUAUUUCCCUGAUUUUUUAUUUUUACAUGUAGCUUGUAACUCACACCAUCAUCCAUGAAUCUUCCCAGAGAGACAAAUUUCCACAGACAGACAGGUCACGGACCAAGAAGACAGAAAGAGAGCAGCCUCCUCUAAUGCCAGGUAAAAUAAAAAAAUAAAAUAAUAAUAAUAUAGCUGCAAGCAGCGAUGUCUGACCCAAGCCAUCAGUGCAAACGCCACCCCAGUGGCUUCAGGAAAACUGCUCAGUGGACACAUGCAUUUACAGUAACCCUCUGGCAGUCUGGUUUUAAGGGAUACGGCAAUUAAAGGGUUAAUCCAAACCACCAAGACUGUGAAAGACAUACACAGAACAAUAUAUAAAACUUUAGUAACACUUUACAAAAAGAUUUCAGUUAUUAACAUUAACUAUAUUAAUUAACAUAAACAAUAAUUAUAUAGCAUAUCUUAAUAUUCAAAACUUAACCAUUAAAAAGUUUUAUCUGUUAACAUUAGUUAAUGCACUGUGAACUAACAUGAACAAACAUUAAUAAUUCUGUGAAAAUAUAUUGUUUAUUGUUUGUUCAUGUUAGUUAAUGCAUUUACUAAUGUUAACAAAUAAGACCUUAUUAUAAAGUGUUACCAAAACCUUUAUUGAUUUACACCGCUUGCGUAAUUAUUAGGCACAUUGAUAUUCUGAUGAUUUUUUGAAGGCUGGAAGAGAAAAACUCCUUAUAUUCAGAUGUGCAGAAUUAUUAGGCAAUUUACAUUUACAGAAGGAGCCAAAAAAGAGGUUUAACUCUUUACCGUACACAUCCCUAUGAGAAAUAUUCAAAACUAAUGCAAUACAGAAAUUGCAAAGGUAAGACAUGAUUAUUGGACAAAAAAAGCUCACUGGGACAGUGGAGUCAGAAAUAAAAACAAGUGGAGAAGAAAAGACACGUUAACUGCAAAAGGGCCCCAAAUAAUAAUAAUAAUUUGAGUUAUUAAUAUUCAUCACACUGUACAGUUAUCCUCAUUUAUAUUUUAAUAAGUUUAAAGCAAAAAAUAAAAUAUAAAUAAAUAAAUAAAUAUUUGAAUAAGCCCAUUUCAAAUAAUUUUGGAAAAUUUAAUGAUGUGGUCUCUUUUUAAACACCUUUUAAACUUUGCACAAUAGUACAUCAAUAGUUUAAUCUCAUAAACCGAUGUUUAUCUGGUUGCAAAUUACCUUAUGUUUACUUUCUCAUUCUUUCUCAUUUGUUUAGAACCUGCGGCUUCCAUACUUUGACCCUUAUUUUAACCUUUAAAUUUUCUUCAUGUUUAAUGAAAAUUAAUGUUAUUUACAUACUUUGACCCUUAUUUUAACCUUUAAAUUUUCUUCAUGUUUAAUGAAAAUUAAUGUAUUUAUUUUUUACUAAUUUAUUUAUUUAUUUUAUUUAUUUAUUUAUUUAUUUAUUUUUAUUAUUAUUUCAAUUUAAUUUUUUUGAUAAUUGCAGAUGCCAUAACUACAGCUGAAAAUGACUGUCUUUAAUGAAUGUGCUACUCCUGAAGACGUAAGGGUGUAAGAUUAACAGUGUUGUGCAAGUUACUUCCAAACUGUAAUACAUUAUAGAUUACUUGUUACUGUCAUUUAAAAGUAAUUCCUUACCUUACAAUAUUACUGUCUCAGAAUUGUAAUGCGUUACAUGACUCCUUUAUUACUUUUGAGUUACUUUUACCAAGAUAACUACAGAAGUAGAAUAUAACAUUCUGAAAUGAAAAAAUGUACUGCAGAGCAUUUUACAUCCAAUAGAGGGCAUAUUGAUGUAGCAUAAUGACUGUGGGCUAUCCAGGCUACUAACAAUAUAGCUUAUAAUUUGCAAAGUGAAGGCUCAAUACAAUGCAAGAAAGGAUGACAGCCAGAAUCACAAACGAUCCAAGUCUGUUAAAAGUAUGGUAGAGGUAAAGUGAUCUGACAAUAUCUGUGAAUUGCUUGGGUCUAUUCAUAUUAGACAACACAGGACUAUAUGUAAACUCUAAUGCCAUAUGCAAUUGUAAAAUGACAAGAUGCGCAUACGUCCAUCUCACGAAUGUACAGUCUUCUGCCAUCUUCACCCUGGCCGCUUUUCCACUGGCCAGUGCAAGCCGGAGCUAACAGCGAGCCGGUUCCACCAGCAAGAGAGAUGAAUAAAAAAAAUUGUUAAACAAAUAUAUCAGAAGCUGUCAUUUAGACUUUAUUUCCAAACUUUGAUACCACACGCAGCUGAUGGCUGACCACAGGAAAUAGAACUUAUUUGCUGCAUUUUUGAUUCGUGAAUGUCUUUCGGUGUUGCUGUUUUUAUUUUUUAUUUUCCUUGAACGAUUAAAUUUUGGGCUAAAAGUGUGUUGUAACGCAAGUGUUACUGAACAUGUACCGAGUAAAAUAUUACUGAAAAUUGAUUAGAAAUGCCUUACACUACUGCGUUACAGCAAAAAGUAAUAUGUUACUGUAAUGCGUUACUUUUGUAAUGCGUUACUCCCAACACUGAAGAUUAAUGCUGUUUUCUCUUUUACAGAUUCAUCUGAAAACACAGAGAAGUGUGUAACAGGAAACAGAAUCCCUGAGCAAAUGACUGAAGACACUACAUCUAAUGACUCAGUAAAAGUAUUCACAGAAAAACAUUCAAGAACUGUAGUUAUUAGAUUUGUUUUAUAUUUUGUAGCUUAUGGUAACAUAAAAUUAAUUCCAAACAACAUGACCUGGAAGAUACAUGUGUAACUUUGGCUUUUCUCGCAAUCAAUAUCAAUUUCAUGUGAAUUUUCAAUGUGUUGCAAAAUUGUUUCAAAAUUCUAUUUAACAACAAAAAUCUAUUCUGUCUAUGUAACAGGGAGAACACAAGGAAACCACAGGAGUCAGAUCAGAUCAACACGUACAACAGGAAAAGAUUGGAAGAGAAAAAAUAAAGCAUUUAUUUCACAAACUUCAUCUUGAAGGCAAGCGCUGCAAUAAACUGAUAACUUCAGAUGUCCUUCAGAUAACUAGAACAUUCAUUACAG